GAUGAACGCUGGCGGCGUGCUUAACACAUGCAAGUCGAACGAAGCGCCUUAUUUGAUUUUCUUCGGAACUGAAGAUUUGGUGACUGAGUGGCGGACGGGUGAGUAACGCGUGGGUAACCUGCCCUGUACAGGGGGAUAACAAUCAGAAAUGACUGCUAAUACCGCAUAAGACCACAGCACCGCAUGGUGCAGGGGUAAAAACUCCGGUGGUACAGGAUGGACCCGCGUCUGAUUAGCUGGUUGGUGAGGUAACGGCUCACCAAGGCGACGAUCAGUAGCCGGCUUGAGAGAGUGAACGGCCACAUUGGGACUGAGACACGGCCCAAACUCCUACGGGAGGCAGCAGUGGGGAAUAUUGCACAAUGGGGGGAACCCUGAUGCAGCGACGCCGCGUGAGUGAAGAAGUAUCUCGGUAUGUAAAGCUCUAUCAGCAGGGAAGAAAAUGACGGUAC
rnacentral:rRNA from 1 species